UGCCCGCAGCUGGAAUCUUUAAAAGUAUAAUCACCUCUUGGCUGUAAAAGAAGAACUUUUGUUCAGUUUGGGAUGUUUGGAUCAAAACAUGCUAUUUCAAGUUUUAUUGAGCAAUAUGGGAAUUGCUGUAUUUCAGUCUUUAAGGGUUGCCCUGAAUCACUGUUGAAGUGGAAACCAAAAUGGAGUAAGGCUCAUUGUGACUUAUAAUCCUUUUAUUUUUCAUAGUCUCUUCAGUUUCAUUUCAUCUGUGUUUGCCUGCUUGGUGCAUGCCUCCACUGUCUUUCUCAGGUGUGGAUGCAAACUGAAGAUAAGAGUACGCACCCUUUUUUUUUUCUUAUAGCUACUGUGAAGUUACAGUCGCAAUAGUAAGAUGACAAGAAGUUCAAGACAAGAUAAAGGACCUUGGUGUGAUUGGACACUGAGAGGUUCCUUAUUCUGCAAACCUCUAAGUAAGCUAAGCUACUUCAACUGGGCCAAAAGAGAUAACCAAGGAGGGAAAGUCUACCAUGUCAUGAAAGAUGGAAGAAUCAUUUGAAGAACAAGAACGAGGGGGCAAACAGUGAAAGGACCAGAAGAUGAUGGCAAGAGAGGCUGUUUUUCCAUCAUGAGUACAACUGAGAAAUAAAGAAAUAUGCCUGAGAGGCUCCUCAAAACAGCUGCAGAAGGUGUCACAAGCACAGAAAAAAGUAUGAUAUAAAUCUAAAUGUCAGAAGUACAUGGCAAAAUUAUUGUCUGGGCUGUGGUGAUACAGCCUCAUUGUAUUCACACUUACGCACUAGCAAAUCCGCAAACACAGAAACGGUGG